AUCGAACGCUGGCGGCAGGCCUAACACAUGCAAGUCGAACGAGUGGCGGACGGGCGAGCAGUUGCUUGGCAACUGCCUGACGGAGGCGGAUGACUACUAGAACCGGUAGAUACUACCGCAUACCAUCCGUUGUGCUGACAUGGGAUUAGCUAGUCGGUGGGGUAACGGUUCAACAAGGCGACGAUCCCUAGCUGGUCUGAGAGGAGGACCAGCCACACUGGAACUGAGACACGGUCCAGACUCCUACGGGAGGCAGCAGUGGGGAAUAUUGCACAAUGGACGCAAGCCUGAUGCAGCCAUGCCGCGUGUGUGAAGAAGGCCUUCGGGUUGUAAAGUACGUUCAGCGGAGAGGCGGUACCCGCAGAGGAAGCACCGGCUAACUCCGUGCCAGCCGCCGCGGUAAUUC
rnacentral:rRNA from 1 species